rnacentral:lncRNA from 1 species
CAUGCGUUUUUCUGGAUUUGUUGUUGUUAUUCUGUCUCUCACUGUUCAAAUAAACCUACCAUUAAAAUUAUAGACUGAUCAUUUCUUUGUCAGUUGGCAAACAUACAAAAUCAGCAGGGGAUCAAAUACUUUUUCCCCUCACUGUACCUCCCCUGUAACCACAGACAAAGCGAUAUAUUGAGGAGACUAUGUUUUGUCACUGCAAUGGUAGUGAUUUAUUGUUGGGGUUUUUUAGACUUUGCGGGAAAGCUGUGAGCUGUCUGUUGAGAUUAUUUUCCUUCACUCCUCACUCUGCACACUCAUAUUGAGCUUUCUCUCCCUAGGCUACCAUUCCCCCUCCCUUCCCUCUCUCCAUCUUUCUCUCCCUAGGCUACCAUUCCUCCUCCCUUCCCUCUCUCCAUCUUUCUCUCCCUAGGCUACCAUUCCUCCUCCCUUCUCUCUCCAUCUUUCUCUCCCUAGGCUACCAUUCCCCCUCCCUUCCCUCUCUCUAUCUUUCUCUACCUAGGCUACCAUUCCUCCUCCCUUCCUUCCCUCUCUCUAUCUUUCUCUCCCUAGGCUACCAUUCCUCCUCCCUUCCUUCCCUCUCUCUAUCUUUCUCUCCCUAGGCUACCAUUCCUCCUCCCUCCCUUCCCUCUCUCUAUCUUUCUCUCCAUAGGCUACCAUUCCUCCUCCCUCCCUUCCCUCUCUCUAUCUUUCUCUCCCUAGGCUACCAUUCCUCCUCCCUCCCUCCCUUCCCUCUCUCUAUCUUUCUCUCCCUAGGCUACCAUUCCUCCUCCCUAUUAUCCCUCAAGUCCGAAGCCCUGAGCGGCCUUUCAGGUUAUGUCGAUAUAGGACUCGUUUUACUGUGGAUAUAGAUACUUUUGUGCCUGUUACCUCCAGCAUCUUCAGAAGGUCCUUUGCUGUUGUUCUGGGAUUGAUUUGCACUUUUCGCACACCAAAGUAUGUUAAUCUAUAGGAGACGGAACGCGUCUCCUUCCUGAGCGGUAUGACGGCUGCGUGGUCCCAUGGUGUUUAUACUUGCAUACUAUUGUUUGUACAGAUGAACGUGGUACCUUCAGGCAUUUGGAAAUUGCUCCCAAGGAUGAACCAGACUUGUGGAGGUCUACAAUUUUUUUCUGAGGUCUUGGCUGACUUCUUUUGAUUUUCCCAUGAUGUCAAGCAAAGAGGCACUAAGUUUGAAGGUAGGCCUUGAAAUUCAUUCACAGGUAUACCUCCAAUUGACUCAAAUGAUGUCAUUUA